rnacentral:lncRNA from 1 species
AGGAGCCCUAGGCAAUAUGUACUAAGUAGACUUUCAUGAACUCAACGAGAUGCUGCAAGAGAUAAAAUAAUGAGAUGCUACAUCGUAGGAUCUGUCUCUGAGUCCACAUUGCGGGAGAAAAGACCAUUCUUCGGAAAGAUGCAGAGGAAGCCCCGUACCUCCCUCAAGGGAUUGAGAUGGGAGACUGAGGGAAUCCUGGGGUCUCUGCCCUCUCCCUCACUGGGAAACAAGCUCUGUUUCUUCAUGUGCCGGAGCCCUGCCUCUGUGGGUGCAGCCUGAGGACAAAGGCAGUGCUGCAUCCCCUGAUCCCCUACCCCCUACAACCUCCUGCCCAGCCUCUCGGGUGCUCCUCAGCUUGUCAUCAGGGAGGAAGCAGCCAUCUCCUGCGAUGACUGACUUCAAGCCUCAACUUUCCCACAGCUUCUCAAAAGCCAAGGCUGAGGCCAAGUUCUAGCUGCUGCCUUGGGACAGGUCAAGGGCCUCCUGCAAUCUCAUGCAUAAACUGGUACCCAUGAGCAUGUGGUCUAAGAGAUUUAUUGACCCCUCUCCAAGUCCUUGCGAGAGGAAUCCUGCACACCUAUAUCCACAAUGAAGGGAGCCAUAUCCCCAGCUGGGUAGCCAUAUCCCUAAUGAUAUCACUUAUGAAAGGUGACAAGUCCUUUCUACCACUCUUAUUUAAGUGAAAAUAUAU